rnacentral:tmRNA from 1 species
GGGCCUGACUCAGUUUCGAUUGCGGGCGGAGGGCGAUGUAAGCAUACCGGAGGCACGGCUCCGUAAAAAACGGAACUUAAACUUAAACGCAGAAUCGAAAGAUUCCAAAGUUGUUGCGUUCCCUGUAAACAGGGCCGCAAUGGCUUGCGCCGCUUAAAUAAGCGGUCCGUCCUUCGCGCAGUUCCGCCGCGCGCGCGGGGCGUCAUUCAGGCGGAUAACGGUUCGGGCGCUUUUGCCGCGGUGCCCGUUCCGUAAUUUUGCGGCAUGCCUGCACGCGCUCCCGUUUACCGGGGUGCGUGCAGUAAGUUCAAAGGUAAACUAAGUAUGUAGAAAGCUCGUCCGAACCCCGUAAGACCAGAGUGCAACUCUCUGCAGGUCCACCA